ACAUAACUUUCAAAAACAUUGCUUACAAUGACAUAACAUUCUAAAAAUAUUGCUGUAAUAUAAAAACAUUCAACUUUACACUUUGAAACUGACUAUCAUACUUUAUUUGAGCACAAACAACUCCUUGACAGUUUAAGAGCAUAGGCUGCUCUUCAUUUGACAUGCAUGAGUAAAGGAAGCAUUGGAAUUCAAGGCAAUUAAGAGAUUCCCCAAGUGUUCUGUAAUGAUCAGUUCAGCACAGCUGCGUGUCUUGCCCUUAGAAAUGUGCGUGAAUCAUUUUACACUUGCUGUCGUCCAACACCCAGGCCAAGCACUCCACUCACUGAGGUCAUAUUACACCAGUGGUGCGAUGCUGUUGGAUUAUCAAUAGACAGCAAUUGUUUGAAUAUCCCUUGCAUAAUUUUUUCCCAGAUAUACUGUCAUAGAAUACAUACUGUGGACCACAGGUAUGGUUGUUACAAGGGCUGAACCCUUUGUUGCAAAUAAAAAGUGGAUAUUGGUGUCACUAAGUAUAUGAUCAGAACUUGAUAUAUAGAGAAAUGUAAAGUUAGAAUGUUUACAAUGAUAAAGUUGUUCCCAGAAUUUACAUUCAUGCAUGUGUUUGGUGUUCUAAAGCUACAGUAACUGCACUAUUUACAACAUGGUUUUAUGUAUCUAUAAUAGUAUAUAGUAUCUAACAGUAUAACAGUCACUAACAUGCAUUAAAUCCUGUUUAGGUAAAAUGUAAGAAUAAAAGAAGUUUAACAGCUGCCAAAUCAUUAAAGCAGGAUAUACUAGACAUAAGCAUUGCAAUAAACUCCCUUGCAGCAUGGCAACAAUAAUGUCAAUUAUUUGUAGCUCAGACUUCAAUAAUCUGCAAAUCUCUUAAACUCAUAUUUAAUUGCAAAAAGG